rnacentral:rRNA from 1 species
UAGCGGAACUCCUACGGGAGGCAGCAGUGGGGAAUUUUGGACGAUGGGGGCAACCCUGAUCCAGCAUGCCGCGUGAGUGAAGAAGGCCUUCGGGUUGUAAAGCUCUUUUGUCAGGGAAGAAACGGUAGUAGCUAAUAUCUAUUACUAAUGACGGUACCUGAAGAAUAAGCACCGGCUAACUACGUGCCAGCAGCCGCGGUAAUACGUAGGGUGCAAGCGUUAAUCGGAAUUACUGGGCGUAAAGCGUGCGCAGGCGGUUGUGUAAGUCAGAUGUGAAAUCCCCGGGCUCAACCGGGGAAUUGCAUUUGAUACUGCCCGGAUAGAGUGUGGCAGAGGGGGGUAGAAUUCCACGUGUAGCAGUGAAAGGCGUAGAGAUGUGGAGGAAUACCGAUGGCGAAGGCAGCCCCCUGGGAUAACACUGACGCUCAUGCACGAAAGCGUGGGGAGCAAACAGGAUUAGAUACCCUAGUAGUCCACUUAUG